UCCAAUUGACAUCAGUGUGUCGCUCUCCUCCAGGACGCUCCCGUACAUCGAUAUAGCCCGUCGCUAGACCCUACUCCUAAUCUCCGGCUCGGUCAAAGAGCAAGCACACAGAAGGUCUCACACUUGCAAUAGUGAGAACCGAGAUGAAAGGAAUGACCGACACCAAGAGAGUUGGAGGUAGGGGGAUAGAAGUGAGACCCACAUAGACAAACAACAUGCAAUCAUGCAGAAGGAGGGCAGUCAUGCAUCAUACAGUCAAGCAGAGUACAGGAUAUAUCACUCAUGUCCACACAAA
rnacentral:lncRNA from 1 species